rnacentral:rRNA from 1 species
AGGGAAUCUUCCGCAAUGGACGAAAGUCUGACGGAGCAACGCCGCGUGAGUGAUGAAGGCCUUCGGGUCGUAAAGCUCUGUUGUCAGGGAAGAACAAGUGCGGGAGUAACUGCCCGCACCUUGACGGUACCUGACCAGAAAGCCACGGCUAACUACGUGCCAGCAGCCGCGGUAAUACGUAGGUGGCAAGCGUUGUCCGGAAUUAUUGGGCGUAAAGCGCGCGCAGGCGGUCCCUUAAGUCUGAUGUGAAAGCCCCCGGCUUAACCGGGGAGGGUCAUUGGAAACUGGGGGACUUGAGUGCAGAAGAGAAGAGCGGAAUUCCAUGUGUAGCGGUGAAAUGCGCAGAGAUAUGGAGGAACACCAGUGGCGAAGGCGGCUCUUUGGUCUGUAACUGACGCUGAGGCGCGAAAGCGUGGGGAGCAAAC